ensembl:lncRNA
CUUUGUCAUUUAAGCUCAUUCUCUGGAGUCUUUCCACUUACAGAAUGUAAGCUCCGGAACGGCACAGAGUUUUGCCCAUUUGUUCUCAGCUGUUCUCCCUUCUACAGCACCACCGGCUGUGUGCUCAGUAAGUCUUCAUUGGAUGAGCGAAUGAGCAGAUGGAGGAGGGAAGGGAGCAGAGGCAUGCGGCAGCCUCCAGAAGCGGGAAAGGGCAAGGACGUGAAUUCUCCACGUAGAAUUCUUCCGCAGAGUCUCUGGAAGGGAACACAACCCUGCUGACAUCUUGAUCUUUGUCCAGUGAGCAACAUUUCAGCUUCUGACCUCAGACUGUAAGACUCUGUGGCACGCACAGCAUUUUAACAGAGGAGCAUAAACACAUCUACACCUGGCAUAACUUGAAACAUGAAGCCACUUGGUCAAAAGCAACCAUCGCAAGAACGGAAGAAUAUUGCACAGAGUGGGUGGUGAAGUGGCUGGAUGACACAAAGUAAUGCAGGGGACUUCUAAAGGGCUAAUGGAUAAUCGGUACCCAAAGUCUUUUCCUUCAUUGCUUCCGUGGACCAGAGCCACUGAGGUCUGUUGUUCAUGCUUCUCAGUCGUGAGGCUCUUGAGAGGACCCAGGUCAGAAGCACACCUGACCUGCAGGAGCAGACACAGAUGAACCAGAGAGUCAGGGCUGGAGGGGUCUGGGAUGUCAGAAGCCAGCCUCCUCAUGCUACAAAUGAGGCUAAUGAAGCAUGGGAAGAAGAAAAGGCCACAGUGAGUGGUGGAAGCAGAAUGAAGACCCAAGUUUCUAAAUUUGGGGCCAAUGCUCUUUCUAUUCUUUUCCCCAGAUGUCAAGAGCACAUGAAAAGGGUCUCAGGAUAGGCCAUGAUUUGCAGAGUGGGAAUGUUCUGAGAAUCGUGCUCAGCUUCUAUGGAGCGCUCUCCACCUUCUCCAACAGAGUGCGCUUCCUUAGUACCGUGCCACCUACUCUUUAAGUCGAUGAUACCUACCCACUGGUAGUGUGCCUGAAAACUGGGCUCUAGUCCCAUGUGGCCACAAGUCCCAUGAGGCAGUGGAAAGACAGUUGGUCUGGAAAGAAGGCUCUGUCACUUACUGGCUCUGGGUCCCUGGACAAGUCUUAGUCUCCCUGUUCUGUGAAGCAGGAUGAGCAUCUCCACUCCACGCACUUGCAGGUGAUUGCAAAGAACAAGCAAGACCACGAUUUAAAGUGACUUAUAAGCUGUGAAACACUGCAGCUUGGGAGGUGUCAGCGGGAGAGUGUCUGACCCGUCUACUGAGAAUUUCUCUCUUUUGCGUUGUGCAGUGGUCAUCACCAGGCAAAGCAAAUUGGAGAGAGAGUUCCAGACCUCUAGGAGCUUCACAAAUGCAGACUUUCAAAUUAUUCACUAGAUUUUGAGCUUCUCACAUUUUGAGCCCAAGUCUUAGUCACCUUUACAGCAUCCCCCACCUUCACCCAAUGGCUUGCCUAAGGCAUCUCUUUUUGGUGAAUGGAGUAAAGUAGUGAAAGGGUGUCAAUUAAACACCCGAUGAGUUAGCUAGGGACCAGAAAACCUCAGGGUGUCAUUCACUUGUGGAAGGACUGCUAGUCUAAAAUAAAGAAACAUUUUUAAUUCUAGAGUACUGUUUUAAAGAAAUGCAAUUUUGACUUUCAAGAACAAAGAGUAACUCAAAUUGGACUAACAAAGUAUUUACAAGUAGCGUUUUGGCUUAUAAAUGAUGCCUUGCUUCAAUUUCAUAAAUUACUUUCACAUCUGUAAUUUCAUUUUCAUAAAUGUCCUGUGAGGUGGGCUAUGAUCCCCAUUUUAUAGGUGAGAAAUGGAGGCUCAGGGAGCAGAGGCAACUUGGGUUCAUCCACUUUGUGUUCUAUUUGGGAUUUUGGACUGCGAUGUCAGGACUAUUUGCAAGCUUUCAUUCUUUCUAAUAGAUUUCGUUCUUUGAGCAUACAUGUCCUCAUCUUCUUCAACUCCAUCUCCCUCCAUCAUGCUUGCUUGGCAAAAUCCCAGCCCUAGUUAAUUCAACCCUCCUCUCCUCCUGUGCUCCACCUAGACACCUGAGCCUAGCUGGAGAGAAACAUGGACCAUAAUAACCGCCUUACUUUAGGUUCCUGACUGGCCAAGCUCAAGUGGGCCCUCAAUGCUCCCCAGCAAUCUACAACACUACGCUUCCCUCAUCCAUCACCUUCCCUGUCUCCUAGUUGACAAUAUCACACGUGCUCUUAUCUUUCCACCUUCCAACAUCCUCACUGGCCUCUCUGGUGAUGAGCUUGCUUCACAUUUCACCUAGGAAACAAUGCAAACAGAAGAGAAGAGAAUAAACACUUGGGCUAGCACACCUUUCAAUCCACCUGCCUUUGUCCUGGGUAAUCUGCACCCUUCUCCCUUGGUUGUUCUAGGCCAUCACUCCUAGAGACAUCCUUUCUUUCUCCUGCAAUUUUCCCUCUCUUCUGGACUGCUUUUGCCAGUGAUCAAACAUGCCGUAAUAUCUCCCAUUAAAAAGGAAAAAAAAAACCCAAUUUGUGACAACAUGGAUGGACCUUGAGGGUAUUCUAAGUGAAAUAAGUCAGUCAGAGAAAGACAAAUAUUGUGUGGUUUUACUCAUGUGGAAUCUGGGAAAAACAAGACAAAAACAAACUCAUAGAUACAGAGAACAGAUUGGUGGUUACCAGAGGGGAAGGGGUUUGG